GCGCCCUUAGCUCAACUGGAUAGAGCGCCGGUCUUCGGAACCGAAGGUUGGGGGUUCGAAUCCCUCAGGGCGUAC
rnacentral:tRNA from 1 species